UUGGUAUCCUGAUGCAAUUG
rnacentral:piRNA from 1 species